CCCUCUAAAUAAAAAAUCCUCAUUAAAGAAUAUUAAUACUCAUGAAUUAAGAAAAACAAAAGGAGAAAUUGCCUGGAACAAAUUCAGAUCACCCUUUGAUCCUGUCCACGGACACGUACGAACGCCUGCUCCAUCACACAGAGGCAUGGGGACCGGAACGGAGCGUGGAGCCCACAGCCGCCCGUCCAGAGCCCGUGCUCGGGGGAAGCGCUAAUGUCAAGGAGAACCAUGAUGCUCAGCUCUUCGCACUAAAAGGAAACAACAAAACCAGGCACGGGGAAACAAACAAACAAAAACCAAGCAUGAGGUGAGCAUUUGUUUUUAGCUCAGCUGCUCGAGGAGAGACGUGGGCAAUGCGUACGGGAAGUGACAGAGACCAACCUCCCCUCCCAGGCGGCCUCCAACAGGAGACCUCACUGCCAGGGCCCAGGCAGCUCACAGACUCUUCCGCCCAGGUUCACAGCUUUCGGUGGCAGGCCUUCCUGCAGAACUUGGGAAUUGUGCUUGCCUGUACUGUGCAGGAGGAAGGAGGAAGUGAAGCAGCCGAACUAUUGACACACCAAGAACAUUGGCACUGUGGCCUGGGGCAGGGGUGCAAACCCAAAAGGCUACGGAGCAGGCGGGCACAUGAGUGGGCCAGGUGUGCAAACACUGUUAAAGGAAAGCAGCAGUCCCACGUGAGGAUGGCAGAUGGCGUGCACGUGGCCUCAGGGGCACGCGGGGAAUGGCUGGGUGGAAAUCUGAUGUCCUCUGACGUCUCCAGGACAACUGCUGGUCCCGGACAACAGAUCCGGACGACGGUGCCGUGUAGACGAGCAGGCCGGGUAUCUCCAGGUUACAGAGUUCCCAAGAACAGUCAAGCUCACCGUGGAAAGAGUACCAUGCAGUGCGCCCGAGACAACCUUCCAGCAGCCACACAGUGAACGCGUUUUCCGCCACGGGUAACAUCUUAAGGGGA